CAUUUUUAGCACUGAAGAGAUAAAGCACCUAAAAAUCUAAUGCUGACUUUGUCACUGAUUUGUUCCACGGCUGAGGGCAAAUCUUCCAGCCUUAGUUUCCCCCCUUUGAAGAAGAAUGAAGUUCACUGGCAGUUGAGAGGCACAUAAUGGGUAUGAGACAGUUUAGAGAGAAUGGAAUUUUGUCUGAAUGGAAAGUGCAUCAGUAAGGAUUUGCUACAGAAAUAUGGCAAUCCAAUCUCAUGGGGUGUUGAAAGCAAUAACCGGUUAUGAAAAUUGUCAGGUAUUAAUAUUUGCAAAGCACUAUAGAUACUUCAAUACCUGAUUCUGUAAAAACUGAGUAGAACAUCUGCCUUUCAAAAAUGUUUGGUAAAGCUGGCAUUUACAGGUUAAGGUUUGAGAAGUUUAAAUCCUUUCAGUUCCCUGUUAUUCUUUCCUCCAUUCAUUCUUCAUCUGUAAGUGGGCAGGAUGUCAUGCCUGGGGCAUGUCGUGAGUGGCUUUUUACCUUGCCUGAACACCUGUGUAUGGUUUGUUUCUCUGGAAUAAGAUCUUUACUUCAUCCAGUUAUUGUUUAAGAAUUAAGAUUCCUUUUUCUUUUCGUUCUUUUUUUGUUCAAAGCUUUGUAAUAGGUGAGAGAUGUGCUUACUUUCACAUGCAUGGAAAACUCACCCAUAAAAACGAAGGUCUUUCACAAUGCAUUAGCUGGGUUUUCUCUCCAGUGCUGACCUUUGACCUCCAUGCACAAUGUGGUAUUCAGCUGUCCUGUUCUCUGAAGUGAAAACCUUCAGAGCCCUCAACAAAGAUAUUUCACCAAGAGUAAGCAGUCCAUGAACUAAAUGACUUAAGAUAAGAAGGCGGUUAAUUCUGAAAUAAAGAUGAAGGCAAGAGGUCUAUAAAAAUUACAAAGCCCUCCAAGGCCGGAUCACUGAUCCCCCCCAUGGUGAGGGUGACAACUCAACCUUCCUUAAGACCCGAAUUAAAGAGACAAGUGCACUUUCUAUUCCAUGGAAUUUCUAAAUGGAUUUCUUUGGACAAACCUGCCCAGUGUUCCUUGGUUGUAUUAAUAAAAAGAGUAGAGAAUCUUAGUGGGGGAGG
rnacentral:lncRNA from 1 species